rnacentral:rRNA from 1 species
GGGAUAACAGCUGGAAACGGCUGCUAAUACCGCAUAAGCGCACAGUGUCGCAUGAUGUGGUGUGAAAAACUCCGGUGGUAUAAGAUGGACCCGCGUUUGAUUAGCUAGUUGGUGAGAUAACGGCCCACCAAGGCGACGAUCCAUAGCCGACCUGAGAGGGUGACCGGCCACAUUGGGACUGAGACACGGCCCAAACUCCUACGGGAGGCAGCAGUGGGGAAUAUUGCACAAUGGGCGAAAGCCUGAUGCAGCGACGCCGCGUGAGCGAAGAAGUAUUUCGGUAUGUAAAGCUCUAUCAGCAGGGAAGAUAAUGACGGUACCUGACUAAGAAGCACCGGCUAAAUACGUGCCAGCAGCCGCGGUAAUACGUAUGGUGCAAGCGUUAUCCGGAUUUACUGGGUGUAAAGGGAGCGCAGGCGGUGCGGCAAGUCUGAUGUGAAAGCCCGGGGCUCAACCCCGGUACUGCAUUGGAAACUGUCGUACUAGAGUGUCGGAGGGGUAAGCGGAAUUCCUAGUGUAGCGGUGAAAUGCGUAGAUAUUAGGAGGAACACCAGUGGCGAAGGCGGCUUACUGGACGAUAACUGACGCUG